rnacentral:rRNA from 1 species
AUGUCCCAUGCACGUGGAUCCAAUGGGGUGCCCGAGUCGCCUGGGCCAGCGGCCUCACUGUCGCCUGGGCCGGUCGAACCUGCGGAGCUGUCGGCCGGGCCGGCUGGACCUGCGGGUCUAUCCCCUGGGCCGGGGGUCUCGCAGGUCAUCGAGUCAUCGUCGCCUGGUCCGUCAACGCCGGUCACGCCCGGUCUGUCUUCGCCGACCCUGACCGUGCCACCGGAUGCGCUUGUUGACUCGCUCGCCGGCGCGUCCUCCUCGCCACUGAUGGGCAGUGGCUCCUCUGGUGGUUGCGAUGCCUCCAUUCUGCUGGACCCGACGACCAGCAAGCCAGAGACUGAGAAAACAACAAUCCCCCUACGCGGAUACGAUGCCGUGAACAAGAUCAAGGACGCCGUGGAGGCCGUCUGCCCGGGUGUUGUCUCCUGUGCCGACAUCCUGGCCUUUGCGGCACGUGACUCCACCUGUGCCUCAGGCGGGUUCACCUUCCACAUGCCAUCCGGGCGCCUGGACGACUUCCAGUCAAUCGCCGACGAGGUCUUCCAGGGCAUCCCAUCCCCGCGUUUCAGCUCCAAGAACUUCUUGAUAGCUUCACCGCCAAGGGCCUCAACGCUUCCUCAAUCUUAA